rnacentral:misc_RNA from 1 species
AUAUCUUUAAAUGAAAAUUACAACUAUGUGAAAGUUGUAUCAAGAAAAGUUGGCAAGACGUUGAUACAAACGCUCUAAUGUUCAAGCCAUUUUGUAGAUUACAAUUUUUCUGUGCUGUACAGAACAUAGACCGAUUCCUGCAUUAUGUUCCCAUGUAUUUUCCAGUGAUAUUCUCUUUGGAAUUAACUUGGCACCAUCAAUCAGAAACCAAAGAAUCAG